AGGAACGCUGACAACAUUUGCAACUAAAAAUGUAGAAGAUGAUCAUGAGUCAUGGAGCAACAUGGGUUUUACUGGGAGAGUAAGAGUUGAGGAGAACUUCAAAGGCUUCCUGGCAGUGGGGAACAUUGGCAGGGUGGCAGCUAUUUUCUUCUCCAUAAUCAUAAUCCUCGUCUUUAUUUUCCGUCGGAUGCUUCUGUCCAGGGACGAUGGACAUCGGCUCAACACCUCAACUGCUGGGAAUAUCUAUGAAAGCAUCCCAGUGCCUUAAAGACAGCAAACGUAAUUGGAGCACAGAUUUCUAUAAGCAACUUCAGACUGCAAAAGUAGCCACGUGUCAUGUGUCAAAAAUCUCAAACUCAUUAAAUAACAGUUUGAACUCUUUUGGAAAUGGGAACACAAAUGACCCAUUUCCACAGUAAAGCAGCUUAUAUUCUCAGAUGGCACUGAAAAGGGUAAAUGUGAGUCAGAAGAUGCAACACUAUCCUGCACAUAAAUUCAUUUGCUUUUAAUUUCUGAUUUUCUGUGUUUGCCC
ensembl:lncRNA